rnacentral:rRNA from 1 species
CAGUCGCCGCGGGAAUACGGAGGGAGCUAGCGUUGUUCGGAAUCACUGGGCGUAAAGCGCACGUAGGCGGCUAUUCAAGUCAGGGGUGAAAGCCCGGGGCUCAACCCCGGAACUGCCUUUGAAACUAGAUAGCUUGAAUCUUGGAGAGGCGAGUGGAAUUCCGAGUGUAGAGGUGAAAUUCGUAGAUAUUCGGAAGAACACCAGUGGCGAAGGCGACUCGCUGGACAAGUAUUGACGCUGAGGUGCGAAAGCGUGGGGAGCAAACAGGAUUAGAUACCCGUGUAGUCCCUGUCUCUUAUAC